CAAAAGGAAGUAAAGUAAUUAUCAGUCUCCACCUACAUUUAUACGUGAGCCUUUUAUACAUUAGGUAACUCAUCCAUGGUCACUGGAUUUUAACCAGUUUUUGUGAAUCUGUAUUAUUCUCCUAAACCAUACUGUUCACCAGAGAAAGAGUAAUUUGGUUUCAAAACAAUAAAAUAAAGAUUAACAUCACAUAACACAGGCAACAUACACUGUUAGCUAUGAUCUAUUGGACAUUUCCAGCACACUAAAGCAAGCAGUGGGUAUCUGCAUGAAAUAUGUAUAUCAUUGCACUUAGGAAGAGGAAAUAUGAACCUUUUUAGAAUAUGUAUGCCAAGCACAGUGUAUGACGCUCCCUACAGUUGCCCUUUCGUGAAAUUCACACUAUAAUCACAUAUUCUACAUUUUUCUUUGAGAUGACAAUCUCCACAAAUGGAAACAGCAACAGUUCUCUUAAAUAUAGACAUAAAGAAGGUAAAUAAGGUCUAGCUUUCCAUUCUAGAUUCUGGGCGAUUUCAACUCUAGAGUUUCUAGAUUGCUUAGGACUCUACCAGAAGCCUCUACUUCAUUCUAUGAACAGUACCUGCUAAAUUAAGCUCAUGUUUUAAACAUUGAUUCUUUGAAAAGUGUCUGGAGUACCCGACUUAUGCCACCAGAUACCUUAGUCUUACAGCAUGGCACUGUGGAAGGAAAAUUGUCCAGUGAUGAACUGGUAGGCUGUGUAGAAAUAUGGUCAUCGUGAAAAAAAAAUACUUUGUGGGUAGAGCAAAAACAGGAACUAAAAUCAAGAGUCAUGCACAAUUAUAAAGAAGAAGUAAGCGACUCUCUGGUGAAACAGAGGAAAAAAGUGAGUUUCCCAGAAAGAGCUCCACCAGGGGCAGUAUGAAAUGUUGAAAACAACUACUGUUCCAGAAAGUCUGGUUUCCCUAUGUACUAACUACAACAUAAAAAUGAAUUGAAAUUCAACAAAAUUGAAUUCAGAAAAUUCAUUUAAAUGCCAGAGACUUGUCCCUAUAUUAUUGUUAAAAAUCUCUUGAGCCAGAUGUAACAGUGGAUGCCUGUCAUCCCAGCAACUCAAGAAGCUGAGGCAGGAGGACCUCAAGUUCAAGGUCAGCCUCAGCGCUUUAGUGAGGCCCUCAGUAACUUAGCCAGACUCUGUCUCAAAAUAGAAUAAAGUAAAUGUACUGGUGAUGUGGCUCAGUGAUUAAACACCCCUUGGUUUAAUCCAUGGUUUAAAAGAAAACCUCUUAAGACACAAGCUAUUUUAAAAGACAUGUAUUAG
rnacentral:lncRNA from 1 species